CAUGCCUACGGGGGGCAGCAGUGGGGAAUAUUGCACAAUGGGGGAAACCCUGAUGCAGCGACGCCGCGUGAAGGAUGAAGUAUUUCGGUAUGUAAAGCCCUAUCAGCAGGGAAGAAGAAAUGACGGUACCUGAGUAAGAAGCACCGGCUAAAUACGUGCCAGCAGCCGCGGUAAUACGUAUGGUGCAAGCGUUAUCCGGAUUUACUGGGUGUAAAGGGAGCGUAGACGGAAUUGCAAGUCUGAUGUGAAAAUCCGGGGCCCAACCCCGGAACUGCAUUGGAAACUGUAUUUCUAGAGUGUCGGAG
rnacentral:rRNA from 1 species